GUGAACGCUGGCGGCAGGCCUAACACAUGCAAGUCGAGCGGCAGCGCGGGGGCAACCCUGGCGGCGAGCGGCGGACGGGUGAGGAAUUCGUCGGAAUCUGCCUUUUUGUGGGGGAUAACGUAGGGAAACUUACGCUAAUACCGCAUACGACCUACGGGUGAAAGUGGGGGACCUUCGGGCCUCACGCAGAAAGAUGAGCCGACGACCGAUUAGCUAGUUGGUAGGGUAAAGGCCUACC
rnacentral:rRNA from 1 species